AGAGGCGCCGCGCCGUCCGCGGGAAUUUGAAGUGCCUGACUGGGUGGCCGGGAGACGGAGUCUCGGGGUCGCGUGCACCUGGGCGGCCAGGGAGGCUCCAGUGCCCGGGAGAAAGGCAAGAAAACUGAGGCACAGAGAGAUUGUCACACAGCCAGUUUCUUUCAAAAUGAAGAUUCACGCAGUGAUUGUAACUGUCUUGAUGAGCCAGGUUGUAGUUUACAAAGUUUUAUUCCAGAAGGAAAAAAGCCACUUCACCUAGAAAUUUUGCAAACAAAUCAACUUUUACUCUGUGAGUAAUCCAGGGCCUAUCAAGACUACAUUUUAGUUGACUGCAAGGCCUCUGAGGCACGGGAAUUCACAGCUGAGUUCUUGGAGAAGGUCCUUGAGCCAUCUGGAUGGCGGACAGUCUGGCACAUGAUGUGCUCAAGGUGCUGCUUGAGGCCACAGAUGUGGACAUUUCAGCCUUGAAGGCAGUGGUGCAGCUUGCUGAGCCAUACCUCUGUGAAUCUUGAGCGAGUACUUUCACCUUGGAGUGUGUGAAAGAGCUCCUCGAGCUGAAGGAACAUCAGUUGCCCCUGAAGGAGCUGGGUGGUGUUUGAUGAUUCUGGAGACAGCACUUGUAACUUGUAACUGAGCAUGUCAGCUAGGAAGGAGGUAUCUGGUCAGAGAAGGUGUUUUCUGAGGCUGCUUCCUGGAUCCCUAGGGUUUGUGUUCCUGCCAUUCAGCCUAUUUGGCAGUUAUUUCCACCUGUACAAACAGACCCUUUGUCCCUUACAUGAGAAAGAAAGCCCACACCUGGAUUCAUAUUAAUAGGAGUCAGCUUUCUCUGGUCUGCUGAGAAGCAACCUGAUUUACACUGAAGAACCACUAAAGGCUCGGAAAUUGGCACUUCCAGGUACUUCUGGAAGUGGAGCUUUUUUGUUGUAUGAUAAAAUUUUAUUAUACGAAGGACAAAGGGAAGAUACUAGAAGCUUCCAGGAAGGAAAAAAAGAUGUGUCAUAUACAAAGGAUCAGGAAACAGAAUGGCUUGAAACAUUUCAGCAGCAAUACUGGAAGCUAGAAGACAGUGUUGGUUUAAUGCCUUGGAAGAUUGGAAGGACGAUACUUUUCAGCCUAGAAAUCUUCAUCCAGCCAAGCUAUCAAGCAAAUGUAAGGACUGAAUAAUGGCUUUCUUAGACAUUAAAGUCUCAUGUACUCUUUGAUAUCAAA
ensembl:lncRNA novel transcript